rnacentral:rRNA from 1 species
CCUACGGGUGGCAGCAGUGGGGGAUAUUGCACAAUGGGGGGAACCCUGAUGCAGCGACGCCGCGUGGGUGAAGGAGCGCUUCGGCGCGUAAAGCCCUGUCGGCAGGGAAGAAGGUGACGGUACCUGACCAAGAAGCCCCGGCUAACUACGUGCCAGCAGCCGCGGUAAUACGUAGGGGGCCAGCGUUAUCCGGAUUUACUGGGUGUAAAGUGGGCGCAGGCGGCAAUGCAAGCCAGGAGUGAAAGCCCGGUGCCCAACCCCGGGACUGCGCUUGGAACUGCCUGGCUGGAGUGCAGGAGGGGCAGGCGGAAUUCCUAGUGUAGCGGUGAAAUGCGUAGAUAUUAGGAGGAACACCGGUGGCGAAGGCGGCCUGCUGGACUGUUACUGACGUUGAGGCCCGAAAGCGUGGGGAGCAAACAGGAUUAGAUACCCGGGUAGUC